GCUUGAAUAGGGGGGAACCAUUAAAAAGCAGCAGAAAUGGAAGUCUUCAAGUGAUAGGCAAUCAGUAGUUUGCCAAAUACUUGCAUUGAUAACAGCACAAGCCUGGCGUGUGUGCCUACGUGGAUGUCAACAUUUGAUCAGAUGAGAAGCCAAAGUCAAUGGUUAAUAUGCACACAGCUAAAUUAAAUCAACAGAGAGUUGAGUAAGUCUUAACUACCCAGUCAAUUUACAGAUGCCAUGGUGGAUCUUAUCUAAAAUUAAUUUUCUAUUGAUGAGGUGUAUACCCAAUGCGCACAAGAAUCUUCCGAGAUGAGGUGUAUACCACCAGGAUGAAGACUGACUUCAAUCAAAUGAGACUUCAACUAGGGAUUUCACCAGGUAAUCCUCUAGCAUUGCUACAAUGCUACUACAAAAUCCUCUCCAGCUUAAACACAAAACAGGUAUUUAAUCAUUAAUCUUUUUAUUUUAUUUAUGUAAAACAUGGGACUUCAUCCCAGCUAAUAUGAUUGGGUAUUACAGAUGAAGCAAUUUUAUUGCUAAUGCUAACUAAGUUAUAAAUUUUGAAACAGCAGAAUAUAACAUUCAUAAUUUUUUCUUGUUAUCCCAAUUAAGCCAAGAGAUGACAAAGAAAAAUGCACUCAUUGGUAAAGCAAAACAUGCCCGAAACA
rnacentral:misc_RNA from 1 species